GCAGUGUUUGGAAAUCGAACAACGCGACUCGAUUUCUCGCAACGCGACCCGAGAAAUCGAGUUUGUAGUCAUCUCAGGCGCAAAUUAUACUCUCCUAGGCUGUCUUGUUCGAUUUUCAAAGCUUCAUAGAAGAAGAGUGACGAAAGAAUGCAUCUUUAGUGGCUAAAAGACCUUUGAUGGGGUUGUAUCUUGUAUGUGUGAGAGUUGUUGCUUUUGGUUGAUCACUUAGCAAUUGAGGAAUAAAGCAAGACGAUUGAUCAAAAUUGUAUCUAGUGGCUCUUAAAAAUUGAGCCUUUAUUGAAUUAGUGUGCAUGUUAGUCAUGAGAAACUGAUUCUUAAAGGUCUGUUUUUGAUAAGUUGUAGUACUAAGGUGUUAUAAUGAUGUUCUAUGAUCUAUGUUUAGGCAAUGUGUGUUAGUAUUAGGUCAUAUGUAUAGUUUAUCUUAGUUGGCUUGUUUGUAUGUGACAAUGAUGCACCAUCUCUGUGUAUUUUGGAGUUAAUGACGGUAAAAAGCUUCUAUCUACAUAUAUACUUGCACAACUAAACACGAGAGCUAAAAUAUGCACACUUGUUUGCAUCCACAAACCACAAGUAAUGUGUGUGAGACAGAGAAAACAUGAAUUGCCAUGUACAAGGGAUCACACUACAUAGUUAAAGAUCAUACUACCACAAGCAUAGCUGUGGCAUUGGCUUGCUUAAAUUUUUGUAAGAGUAUUGUCUAUUGAAGCGCUGAAUCGAAUAGCAGAGCCGAUAAGUGUGGUGGAUCUUCGUUGUUCCAGUUCAGGUAAUGUUCUUUCUUGUUUUGGGUGUUAGCAAAUUUUUAUCCAUGUCUUCUUCUACUUUGCAAAUGUUCUGUUAUUUUUCUUUGUUGCAGAUUUCUCAAGUCGUGAUUUCCUUACAGCUUCUUGGAUUUGCCUCUCAUGGUCUUUCAGAAUGUCCUCAAUGUUUCCUCCGGGAGGCAUCAAUGGACCCGAACAGUGCAUUCUAUUCUUCUUGCG
rnacentral:lncRNA from 1 species